UUGUUACUGGACGAUUGUCGCAGUCGGUCCUUAUUCUCGUCGGUGCACGGACGAAGUAUAAAAACGUUUUUGGGAGGCGAUGUCGAAUAAUUUAAGCGGUCCCGUUGCGGGAUAUUUACCGAUCUUUGGCAUUUGGCGGUCAAAAGGCGUUCGCCGACUUACAUAGAAGCUUCGCAGAUGACGAACAGAUGAAAUCAACACAUUCGUUACUGACGCGUAAAUAUGCCGUAAUACUGAAUAUUGUCCGUGUCGGGAAACAAUGGUCGUUUUACGAUUUCCGUUUUAACACCGCCGCGA